ACGAAAACAUCACCAUACCUCACGCACGCUUUAGGCGUCGGUUACACGAGAUAUCCUACACGAAACAACUUUUUUUUUAAAGGUGGAUAAUCCGAGCUUUGCAUCGAACCAACUCUUGCGAAACCGGCGUGCACACAAGUACAGUGUCACGUCACCACCUGUUUCUGCCCUGGUCGACGAUCGAUUUCUUCUGUCUCCGGCGCACCGAAGCAGACGCGAUUUGUGCAUCGGAGAGGGGAGCUGGCACCCGCUCCCCGUAUUUAAUGGCGUCACCACUUCCUCACGCCUCCAACGUCUUCUUGCAUUCCAUGUCCAUCCCAUCCCACCCCAUCCCAUGCCCUCCUUCCAUCCUUCCUCUACAUAUCAUCAUCGCGUACACCAUCACUCCGAUCAUGUCGUCUGGUGCCAGUAACGCCUGAGCGUAACCCCCUCCGCUCUCGAUCGAUCGAUUGAUCGAGCUCCUCCUCUAUAUAUCCUCUGCCAAGCUGAUCAGCUCCCUAGUCCGGCCGUCUCCCUCCCAAACCACGUGCGCGAUCACCAGCCAGUUCACCGGUCCCUGCGUGACGAUCUGACGUACAUACACGCUCUAGAGCUAGGCGUCCAUGGCCGCCGCCGCGGUGGGCAAGNNNNNNNNNNNNNNNNNNNNNNNNNNNNNNNNNNNNNNNNNNNNNNNNNNNNNNNNNNNNNNNNNNNNNNNNNNNNNNNNNNNNNNNNNNNNNNNNNNNNAGCAGCUAAUUAGUACUCCGUUGUACUACUUCUAUAUGCAUGCGUAGUGUGAAUGCUAUUUUUUAACUCAUUUUACAGUCAAUCAAUAACCACCUAGGUUCUAGAGAAUUUCCAUGCACGCCUUCUAAAUCGUGAUGAAGGGAGUACUACACUAGCAAAACAUGCGAGUGCACACAAUAAUCAUUUCUAAAGACGGCCCACAUGCAUAUGCCCUCUAUUUCAAAAUGACGUCCCAUAUGAGUUGUGAUUUAUCCUUUUUCAUGCCCUCGCCAAGUCGUGUCCAGAUGAUCAUAAAAAUGGCCGAAUGUGCUCAAUCCCUAGGCAAUGAGCUCGGCCACUGCAUCGUUCAUUAGUCAUUGAACCGCACCAACAUAAGAUAAUUCUUAGACUAAUAUCGUCGAACUCGCUCUGCCCUCUAUGAGACCCUCCGAGGACCUGGUCUGUAUACAACCCUACUCCUUCUCACUUUGAACUUGUAAUAUUAUGGACUUGUUUCAUGUAGAAAGGGCAUGUACUGCACUUGUCCCGCCUAAGAGCAUAUCUAGUAGAACCCUCAAACCCUUAAAGCAGUUUUAAGGGUUGAGAAGUGCCAGUUUUUGGCACUUUUAAGGGUUGAAAAACAGGGGCAAAGACUAGAACCCUCAAACCCAACCCUUAAACUGCUUUAAGGGUUGGGUUUGAGGGUUCUAGUCUUUGUCUCAACCCCAAUCUUUAAAUCUAUCAUUUGACAUCUCACAAUUUAUGACUACAAGAACACAAUCAACCUCUAAACAAACUACCAAAUGACAAUCAUUGAUGCAUGGUUUAAUAGUUUACGUCACAAAAUCAUCAUCUUCCCCCUCUCAUCGGCAUCAUCACCAAAAAGUUGCACCUCGGCGCCAUCUCCUAGACCACAUGCGGGCUCCAUCAAGCAUCUCCAUAGGCGUCGGUGGAGUCGUCCACACCGCCAUCGCCACAACUACUCAUCGAAGUGUCACCUUGAAAAGUAGAGGACGCACCACAGAACAUCCUCUUCCUCUCCGUGAUGUCCUCCUUGUAGUCCUUCCACCAUUACAAUUGGUCUUGAUCCAUGUCCUUCUUGGACAUCAUCAUGUGCUCCUUCUCUUCCACCAUGAGUUCUUUCCAUACCUUUGCCUCUUUGAGCUUGAUCCUCCUCUCCUCCAAGUCGGCCUUCCGCUUUGCUUCUUCACGCUUUGCUCCAACUUGUGCAAGCUUGACCUCUUUCUUCUUCUCGGUGAUAAGAAGCUUCGUCUCCAAUGUCUUCGUUGUUAAUUCAUCAUGUGCUCCAACUUCUCCCUUAGGCUUGACGCCUCUCUUCCAUCUUCACCCUUAGCUUGCCCUUCUUGGUUCCCUCGGGCUUGCCCAAGUUCCUCUCCUCCUCAUCUUCACUAUCAUCCAUCCUAAGCAUUGCCGACUUCUUGGGUGCGGUCUCUUGAUCCCUCAACUUCCACUUGUCAAAGGUUUGAAGAAUUUCCCAAGCAUGCUUAAAUGGGAAUGGAUUGCCCUUGGAAGCGGCCAUCUCCUUGUACCUCAUGCCGGCAAUUGUCUCCUAUCAACCACACAUAAUCACAUAAGAACCCACCAAUAGCAUAGUACACACACAUAAUCAAAAUAGUGAAGAGAUAUGUACUCACAUAGUCACUCUCCACGGUUCCACUAGGUGGUGCAUCCCUCACUUAGUCCAUGGCCGCACUCCAACGAGCACAAGCGGGCUUCAUCAACUCCCACCGGACUUGAAGCGACCGGUAAGUGCGAGAGAUGAACCCACUAUUCUUUGGCUUGAUCCUACAAUAGUUGUCCUCGAUCCUUUGCCAAUACCGUUUACCGGUUUGAUCGGUGCCAGUGCGUGCAUCCAUCCCCACAGCUGCCCAAGCACGAACCAAGAGGAUAUCUUCCGCCUCGGUGUGGUUUGUCGACCGCGCGUGUGGGCGGGAAGCGGCGGUGAAUGCCUCAUCCCCUAUCUCGGCCACCUCCUCCUCGUCAUCCCCUUCAUCCUCCUCAUCUUCCUCCAAGUCGUCACCAACCCUAAAGGGUUCUAGAGGCGGAGCCCCGAGGUCCACCUCCGCGUCUUGGAGGAGGUCAAUGAACGAGGAUGGGGUUGCCAUUUCCUCGAACACCUCGUGCGUGGCGGGACGAGGUUCGACGACAUCGGCGGACGGGGCCGCGGGCUUCUUCNNNNNNNNNNNNNNNNNNNNNNNNNNNNNNNNNNNNNNNNNNNNNNNNNNNNNNNNNNNNNNNNNNNNNNNNNNNNNNNNNNNNNNNNNNNNNNNNNNNNAGUGUGUAGCAUUUGAUUGGCCCAAAUGAUGUAGUUAAACUUAUUCGAAGGUACGAUGUUGGAGUGGUGGUGAAGUCUUGAUUUAACAGUAUACCUAUCACCUCGGAAUUGCAUUAGAAUGUGUGCAAGGAUAAAAUAGUUGAAUCGCAAGACCAAUCACUUGAAUUAUUGCCACCAAGGUUUAGCUUCCUCUGCUACAAAUUGACUUGAACUGACAUGCCUCCUCCCCAAUACAUGAUGGAAGGGUGGAAGUGCAUGUCCCCAAUUCUUCUAUCCAACCACCAAAUGAGGCAGAGAUGAAUGGUAGAACCAUGGUAAUUCAAGAGGAAGAGGUUCAUGUUGAUGAUGAUGAUGCUCAUGUUUACGAUGAUGCUAUUGCCAUGGUGAUGCUUAAGCGAAGUUGAAGAGAUUCAUUGUAAUCCCAUUGGUAACUUGGAUGUCAUUCUCUACAACAAAGACAUGGAUCGUAGCCUCCCUUGUAGACGUAUAUAUGGGUAUGACUCGGGUGAAGAGGGUACGGAGUAGGAAUUGAACGAGGAUUGAUCCAUGGUGCAAGAAAAUGAAAUCUCCAAGAAGGUGACUGGCAAGGAAAGAGGCGCCCCAUUGUUUCAUGAUCUUAGUCUUGCUCACAUGGACAUUGUUGAUGGUGGCAUGAGAUUGGGGUUGGUUGAACUAACACCGUGCCCUAAGAUCGGUGAUCCAAGGCCCAAUGAUGAGGUCGAGAAUGCUCCUUUGAAGAAAGGCAUCAAGUUUGGAUGCUUGCAAGAGUUCAAGAUAUGGUUGAGUGAAUACGCCAUUAUGGACCAUAGGUCGUUUGUUGUUGACCAUUCCAACCAAAAGGUGCGGUACACCAUCAAAUGUGACAAAUAAGGUUGUCGUUGGAAUGUCCGUGGAAGAAAAAUGAAAUAACCCGGGAAAUGGGUGUUGAAGAGUUGUGUGGCCACUCACACGUACAUACCACCGGACAAAGCCAACCAAAGCAAGGAACACCAUCAACUCACAUAUGAGUUUUUAGGCUAUAAAUUGUUGAAUGAGAUAUCCCACGUUCCAACUGUGAAGGUGAAGUUUCUCAUGAGUUCGGUCGAAGAUCGAUACAGAUACAAGGUCAAUUAUGGGAAGGUAUGGAAUUAAAAGGCAAAUGCUAUUAGGAUGUUGCGUGGUGAUUAUGAGGUCCCAUGCGCUUACGAUGAAGGAGGUUGGAUAUACGGCGAUAUGACUAGCAACAUGGUUGAAUGCUUCAACAAUGUGCUUAAGGGUGUUCGCUCUUUGCCGGUGACUGCAAUAUUGAAAUAUACCUUCUUGAUGUUGAAAGAGUAUUUUGUUAGGCAUUCCCUAACAACCGCCAAAUGGAUAGGAGAAAAGAGAGUAUCCAAAUAAGGUUGAUGAUUGGCUGAGGUUUGAAGGAGGCAAGUAUUCACACCAACAAAUCAUCUGAUUCAACAACAAAGAAAUGACCUACCAAGUCGAGGAGCCAGGUGGCACACACGCGAUGGUGUGACGUGCAGCGGUGUUGCUUAUGAGGUGCACCUCAAGAACUGGUGGUGUGCAUGUGAGAGGCCUCAUAGGUAUCACUAGUCGUGCUCGCAUUUGAUGACGAUUGUGAAGGUGAGGAACUUCUCUGUUUCCGAUGGAAGGACCGUGCACUUGCAUGAGUUUACAUUGGAAUCCACGAGGUUGACAUGGGCACCUCGAUUCCAUCCUUUCCUUGACCAGUCACAGUGGCCUGAGUAUGAUGGCCCACAUACCGUGCCAGAUCUUGAACUCGUGGUACCUACAAAGGGAAGAAGAAGAAAGAAGAGGUUCAGGGGUGACAUGGAUGUUCUAGCUGGAUAUACCGACAUGAAACAAUUUGGAAGUGGUCAUUUCAUGGAGCCUCCCAAGACCAACAAUUGUGCUUAAUUUGACAUCUUGGGCCACAAUAAUAGGACAUGCAACAAAAGGGCAAGGACGACCAUUGCCAACACUAGCAUGAGUCAGUCAGGUGGAUGUAGAGGCGGUUUGCCAUGGCGAAUGUGGAAAGCAUACGAUGGGUAGACAAAUUACUGUUCGACAAUUAAUAGGAAAGUGCAUAGUUUUGCAAUAGUUAUUCACGACAAUGAUCAUGUAUAUUGUAUCACGUCCACAAGAAAGUAGACUUACUCCUUCCUGCAUCUACUACUAUUACUACACCCAUCGACCGCUAUCCAGCAUNNNNNNNNNNNNNNNNNNNNNNNNNNNNNNNNNNNNNNNNNNNNNNNNNNNNNNNNNNNNNNNNNNNNNNNNNNNNNNNNNNNNNNNNNNNNNNNNNNNNACUCACUAUAGGGCGAAUUCUGGUUGAAAGAAGUCGUCUAUAUUGGGCACAUCAUCUCUGCCGAGGGCAUCAAAGUUGAUCCGUCGAAGGUGCAGGCCAUUGUUGAAUGGGAGCCUUCACAGAAUGUGAAGCAGCUUCGAAGCUUUCUCGGGCUUGCAAGCUAUUGUAGAAGGUUCGUUGAGAACUUUUCCAAGAUUGCUAAGCCUCUCUCAAAUCUUCUUCAGAAAUGUGUGAAGUAUGCUUGGUCUCCAGAGUAUCAGUUGGCCUUCGACACACUCAAAGAGAAGAUCACCUCUACUCCAGUCUUGGUCCCUCCUGAUGAUUCCAAACCUUACCAAGUGUUCUGCAACGCCUCUCUUCAAGGUCUUGGUGCAGUUCUGAUGCAAUAGAAGAAAGUGGUUGCUUAUACCUCCACGCAGUUGAAGCCAGCAGAGAAGAAUUAUUCUGUGCAUGAUCUUGAGCUAGCAGCAGUGGUACAUGCUCUGAUGACUUGGAGACACCUCUUGUUGGAACGAAAGGUUGAAGUGUUCACCAAUCACAAGAGUAUCAAGUACAUCUUCACCCAGCCUAACCUGAAUCUCCGGCAAACUCGAUGGGUGGAAAUGCUGCAAGAUUUUAAUCCGAGCGUUGAGUACACGCCAGGCAAAGCUAAUGUCGUGGAAGAUGCUUUGAGCAGGAAGGCUUACUGCAACACUCUCAUUCUGAAGCCUCUCUAGCCUGACUUUUGUGAAUCUUUUAGAAAGCUCAACCUUUAGUUAGUACCUCAGGGAUUUCUUGCAAAUCUUCAUAUCUCUCCUCCCUUGGAAGAUCAGGUCCGGGCAGCACAGCUUCUUGAUGCAAUGGUGAAGAAAGUCAAGAUUGGCGUGGCAAAGGGAGUUCCUAAAUAUAAGUGCUUCAGUGUUGAUGCCAGAGACACGUUGUUCUUUGAGGAUCGUCUUGUCGUUGCGAAAGGUGAUCUCAGAAAGGUAAUCAUGGAAGAAACUCAUAACUCCUUGCUCUCAAUACAUCCAGGAAGCUCCAAGAUGUAUCAGGACUUGAAAUAGACCUUCUGGUGGACUCGCAUGAAGCGUGAGAUUGCUCAGUUCGUAAAUGAAUAUGAUGUAUGUCGAAGGGUGAAAGCGGAGCAUCAACGUCCAGCAGGUCUUUUGCAUCCAUUGCCCAUUCUCGAGUGGAAGUUCGACCAUAUUGAGAUGGAUUUCGUCACCGGGUUUCCGAAGUCUAAGAAGGGUAAUGAUGCCAUCUUCGUCGUCAUUGACAAGUUGAGUAAAGUGGCUCAUUUUCUUCUAGUCAAGGAAUCCAUCUCCACAGCUCAGCUUGCAGAGCUGUACACUUCCAGGAUAGUGUCUUUGCACGGCAUGCCUAUGAUGAUUUCUUCGAAUCGUGGAAGUAUCUUCACUUCCAAGUUCUAGGACUCUUUUCAGUCUGUGAUGGGCACGAAGAUACGCUUCAGCAUAGCUUUUCAUCCUCAGACUAGUGGUCAAGUGGAGCGAGUCAAUCAGGUUCUUGAGGAUAUGCUGAGAGCCUGUGUUAUCUCUUUUGGCAUGAAGUGGGAAGACUGCCUGCCUUUCGCUGAGUUCUCGUAUAACAACAGUUAUCAAGCUAGUUCAGGCAAAGCUCCGUUUGAUAUUCUCUAUGGGAGGAAGUGUCAUACCCCUCUCAACUGGUCCGAGACCGGCGAGCGUCAGAUUCUUGGGAAUGACUUGAUAGAAGAAGCUGAAGAGAUGUGUCAGGUCAUUCGGAAUAAUCUCAGAGCAGCACAGUCCCGUCAGAAGAGCUAUUAUGAUAGAAAGCAUCAUGACAUGUCUUAUGAGCUUGAUGACUUCGUCUAUCUCAAGGUGUCACCUAUGAAGGGUACACAACGCUUUGGCAUCAAAGGCAAGCUUGAGCCUCAUUUCGUUGGUCCUUUCAGAGUUGUUGGCAAGAGAGGCGACCUUGCGUACCAGCUCGAGCUCCUGUCAAACUUUGCAAAUGUGCAUGACAUGUUCCAUGUCUCUCAGCUCCGAAGAUGCUUCAAGACUCCCGAGCACACUGUUCAUCUUCAAGACAUCGACCUUCAACCCGACCUAUCCUAUCGUGAGCAUCCAGUUGCGGUUCUUGAGGCGACUGAGCGCAAGACCCGCAACAAGACUGUCAAAUUUCUCAAAGUGCAGUGGUCACACCAUUCCGAUAAAGAGGCUACUUGGGAACGCGAGGCUCACCUCCGUUCUGAAUUCCCAGAGUUAUUUCAGUCUUAGAUCUCAGGUCGAGAUCUUUUUGUAGUGUGGGAGAGUUUGUAAUGCCCCAAGAGUGUAACUUGCCAUAUUUGGAACCUUCUAUAUGUGGGACCAUCUUGUCAUUGCCAUGAGAGCUCAAUGCNNNNNNNNNNNNNNNNNNNNNNNNNNNNNNNNNNNNNNNNNNNNNNNNNNNNNNNNNNNNNNNNNNNNNNNNNNNNNNNNNNNNNNNNNNNNNNNNNNNNCAAUAAACACGAUCCAAUCAUGUUCAUGCUUAACGCAAGCACCAAAUAACAAUUAUUUAGGUUUAACACCAAUCCCGAUGGUAGAGGGAGCGUGCAACGUUUGAUCAUAUCAACCUUGGAAACACUUCCAAUACGUAUCGUCACCCCGCCUUUAGCUAGUCUCCGUUUAUGCCGUAGCUUUCAUUUCGUGUUACUAAUCACUUAGCAACCGAACCGGUAUCCAAUACCCUCGUGCUACUAGGAGUACUAGUAAAGUACACAUCAACAUCAUGUAUAUCAAAUAUACUUCUUUCGACUUUUGCCAGCCUUCUUAUCUACCAAGUGUCUAGAGUUGCUCCGCCUUAGUGACCGUUCCCCUCAUAACAGAAGCACUUAGUCCCGGGCUUGGGUUUAAUCUGGGGUCUCUUCAUUAGUGCAGCAACUGCUUUGCCGUUUCACGAAGUAUCCCUUCUAGCCCAUGCCUUUCUCGAAACUUAGUGGUUUUACUAACCAUCAACUAUUGAUGCUCCUUCUUGAUUUCUACUUUCGCAGUGUCAAACAUCGUGAAUCGCUCAAGGAUCAUUGUAUCUAUCCUUGAUAUGUUAUAGUUCAUCACGAAGCUCUCACAGCUUGGUGGCAGUGAUUUUGGAGAACCAUCACUAUCUUAUCUGGAAGAUCAACUCCCACUUGAUUCAAGCGAUUGUCGUACUCAGAUAAUCUGAGCACACGCUCAAUGAUUGAGCUUUUCUUCUUUACUUCGUGGACAAAGAAUCUUGUCGGAGGUCUCAUACCUCUUAACAAGGGCACAAGCAUGAAAUCACAAUUUCAUCUCUUUAGAACAUCUCUUUAUGUUCUGUGACGUUUCAAAACGUCUUCGGCGCCUUGCUUCUAAGCCAUUAAAUAUUUUGUACUGAACUAUCGUGUAGUCAUCAGAAACGUGUAUGUCGGAUGUUCACAACAUCUACAGACGAUGCUCGAGGUGCAGCACACCGAGUGGUGCAUUAAGGACAUAAGCCUUCUGCGCAGCAACGAGGACAAUCCUCGGUUUCACAGACUCAGUCUGCAAAGUUUGCUACUAUCAACUUUCAACUAAAUUUUCUCUAGGAACAUAUAAAAACAGUAGAGCUAUAGCGCAAGCUACAUCGUAAUUCGCAAAUACCAUUAGACUAUGUUCAUGACAAUUAGUUCAAUUAAUCAUAUUACUUAAGAACUCCCACUCAAAAAGUACAUCUCUCUAGUCAUUUGAGUGGUACAUGAUCCAAAUCCACUAUCUCAAGUCCGAUCAUCACGUGAGUCGAGAAUAGUUUCAGUGGUAAGCAUCUCUAUGCUAAUCAUAUCAACUAUACAAUUCAUGCUCGACCUUUCGGUCUCAUGUUUUCUGAGGCCAUGUCUGCACAUGCUAGGCUCGUCAAGCUUAACCCGAGUGUUCCGCCUGUGCAACUGUUUUGCACCCGUUGUAUGUGAACGUUGAGUCUAUCACACCCGAUCAUCACGUGGUGUCUCGAAACGAAGAACUGUCGCAACGGUGCACAGUCGGGGAGAACACUAUUUCGUCUUGAAAUUUUAGUGAGAGAUCACCUCAUAAUGCUACCGUCGUUCUAAGCAAGAUAAGGUGCAUAAAGGAUUAACAUCACAUGCAAUUCAUAAGUGACAUGAUAGGGCCAUCAUCAUGUGCUUCUUGAUCUCCAUCACCAAAGCACCGACACGAUCUUCUUGUCACCGACGUCACACCAUGAUCUCCAUCAUCAUGAUCUCCAUCAACAUGUCGCCAUCGGGGUUGUCGUGCUACUCAUGCUAUUAUUACUAAAGCUACGUCCUAGCAAUAUAGUAAACGCAUCUGCAAGCACAAACGUUAGUUUAAAGACAACCCUAUGGCUCCUGCCGGUUGCCGUACCAUCGACGUGCAAGUCGAUAUUAACUAUUACAACAUGAUCAUCUCAUACAUCCAAUAUAUCACAUCACAUCGUUGGCCAUAUCACAUCACAAGCAUACCCUGCAAAAACAAGUUAGACGUCCUCUAAUUGUUGUUGCAUGUUUUACGUUGUGACCAUGGGUAUCUAGUAGGAUCGCAUCUUACUUACGCAAACACCACAACGGAGAUAUAUGAAUUGCUAUUUAACCUCAUCCAAGGACCUCCUCGGUCAAUUCCGAUUCAACUAAAGUUGGAGAAACCGACACCCGCCAGUCAUCUUUGAGCAACGGAGUUACUCGUAGCGAUGAAACCAGUCUCUCGUAAGCGUACGAGUAAUGUCGGUCCGAGCCGCUUCGAUCCAACAAUACCGUGGAAUCAAGAAGACUAAGGAGGACAGCAAGACGCACAUCACCGCCCACAAAAACUUUUGUGUUCUACUCGAGAUUACAUCUACGCAUGAACCUAGCUCAUGAUGCCACUGUUGGGGAACGUCGCAUGGGAAACAAAAAUUUUCCUACGCGCACGAAGACCUAUCAUGGUGAUGUCCAUNNNNNNNNNNNNNNNNNNNNNNNNNNNNNNNNNNNNNNNNNNNNNNNNNNNNNNNNNNNNNNNNNNNNNNNNNNNNNNNNNNNNNNNNNNNNNNNNNNNNAUAUAUGAUUUUGGGGUAGAAUCUCCCAACGAAUCCAUUAGUGAACUUAGUUUUGCCAUUGGAACACUUUUUGGAGAUGACAUAUUCAGAUUUGUUCUAAUUUUAGUCCUUGUUUCCAUGGAGUGUGAUGAGCCCAAGGGCAUGUUAUUUUGUUGUGGCAAUAGAGGGUGAUCCCCUCUAUAGCUUGUUGGUGUCAUUUCUCACUUAGGGUAUCUUGUGGGCAAGUUGUGCCUAGACAAAGUGGGCAUGUGGCUGAAAUUCCAGAUUAUUUUCACUAAGUCCGAGAAUCUGUUUAUAUUUUCUUCUCCUGUUAAUGAGGUUGUGCAGGUCAAUGUGUUGUGAUCUAGCCUUAGCUUUCAACUGGAGAGUUGGAGCUGAUAUGUUUGUCUAGCUCCCUGUAAAAUUUCAUUCCAUUUGGAGUCAUGUAGAUAUUGUUUUGGCUGCUGUCAAAAUGCUUCAGACCAUAGACAAAAAGUGAGAAUCUGGAAUUUUCACUAAGUCCCUGAAAUCUGAUAUUUUUGGGCAAGUUUGCAGCCUUGUAACUUUCUGUGUUUAAUUCCUUUGUGUGUGAUUCUUGAUUUUGCUGAUACUACUCUUGGAUAGCUACAGCCACAUAUAUUAUUUGUCAUAUUUGGGUGGCCGUAGGUGCUUUGCAUGUAGCUCACAAAGUGCUAUGAUGCAGUUUAUAGCAGAUUGUGUAGUUUUUGUCAUUUUGACGUUUGUGUGUGCUUAGUUGAUGAUGUGGUGUUCUUAUUUGCUCCACCCCAUCCAUGUUGGGUUGUUCUGUGUCUUGGCAAGCUGGAGAUACCAGAGUUGUGCCAUUUGGGUGUGUGGUGAUGAAUUUGACACGUAGGGCUUCAUAUCUUGUUUCGUUGAUUCCCGUUGAUCCGUAGCUCCGUUUGUAAUGUUCUUUAUAUGGUUUUGCAUCACUUUCUCGAGACGCAUCUGAUCAUGUCAUUCUCAUGCAUGUAAAAAUAGGUUAUGAUGCAGUUCUGUCCAGGAACAUGUAAUUGCUUCUCAUGCUUGUGCUAGUGAUAGAUAUAGUGAUGCAUGCUCAUAUCAUCUCAUGCAUCAUGUGCUUGUUGCAUCUUGUGGUGCUGUUGUUCAUUGGAUGUUAUUCUUAUGUUGGGUAGCACCGUGAUCGGAGAACGAGUACGUGGAUUCGGGAAAGUACGUGCAGGAUGAACAAGAACCAUUCCAAGCUGAGGAUAUCACGGGCAAGAUGACAUGACCUUGAUUCCAUCUCUAGACUUGUUAUGCUAGAUUACGUUACUUCCAUAUUAUGCUCACUGCCUACCACUGAAUUAAAUUGCCUCAUGAUAUGCCAUGAAACCAAACACUUGUUCCUUCCUAGCAAACUUGAAUGGCUAAGUAGGCUUUGCUGAGCUACUAAUGUUAGCGUUGCUAGAUGCAGGUGCUUUGCCUCAUGUCAUAAUAUGAGCUUCAUAUCAUUAUCUUAAUUCUGUUAUUUAAUUAAUGCACCUAUAUACUUGGUAAAUAACGGAAGGCCUAGCCUUUUGCCGGGUGCUUUGUUCCAUUAUUGCCGCCAUAGUUACCGGCUACCGGUGUUUGAUUCCAUAUUGAUCGCUCCUAACAUGUUCGGGGUUGUUAUGGGGACCCCCUUGAUAAAUUGCGUAGUGUUAAGACUUGUCCGGCAGGACCCAACAUUGGUGUUAAUUUGCUAAUAACUUAAUAAUAAUCUGCAUAGGAAUGGCCUCCCCGAGGAAUUUAAUCAACAACCCGGGCCAGUGCUCCUCAUGAGUGUUGGUCCAAACUAGAGCAUUGUGCGGGGCCAACUCAGGGCAACUUGAGAUAUUUCUAUCAGGCCACUGUACGCAUCGCUCAUCUGUCGUGUCCUGAUUCUAAGAUACGCGGCUCUUAUCGGGGUCGUCGACACGACGGGAGGUCCUGCUAGUCUUGUCUUACCUUAGCAAUAUAUCUUGCGUAUAGGAAUCCCGGUGAAGCUUUGGUUCUCAACAGAGUUGAGGUUUUCCUCUAAGGAAUCCGACGAGAUCACGAGAUUCGUGAUAGAGGAUUACUUUGCGGCCCGUGUACGUUUGUGAUGGACUAGUUGGAGCACCCAUGCAGGGUUUAAUCUUUUGGAAAGCCGUGCCCGCGGUUAUGUGGCAACUUGGAAUAUUUUGUUAACAUCCCUUAUUAGAUAACUUAAACAAAAGCUAAUAAAAUUGCCAACUGUGUGUGUAACCGUGACUGUCCCCUUCGAAGAUCGUUCUUCGAUCGGGAACACGGUGGGGUUAUGAUUGACGUAGGUAGGUGUUCAGGAUCACUUAGUGAUCAUCUAUUAUCGACCGCUAGUAUAGACCAGAUUCAUAUAUGUCCUAUGUAAGUUAGCCACCAUGUCAAGCUUAGGAUGCUGCAACCUAAAUACUCCACCUAUCCAACCUAAUAACUUGACUAGUUCUGGCACCGAGGUCAUAGAUUGCUGAUUCCCCGUGGCUCACAGAUUCCUUCACAACACCAACAGGUUCAGGUACCCCCGAGACAGGUGAUCCCGACAACACGUAGCUGGCAUGGCAGUACGACGAGGAGAACGACCGCCUGUACGUGAACUAUCCAGAAGAUUGAGGCGUGGUCGUGAUCGUGGGCUAGCAGGCAGGGUAGCAUAGCCUUUUCCCUUGUUUUGUAGUCCGUAGCGGAACUACUUUGAUUGUAUGUGUGAUGUACUCUGAUAUAUUUAUGAGGUGGCAAUUGAACCCCUGAUUGUCAUUCUAUUGAUAUUAUGUAUGUGCUAUGAUACCUUGUUUGCGAGACGCUUAGAUGCGCUCCUUUCCAAUUCGGGACCUCGAUCCCCAGAUCGGAAAGGACCGCAUCUUAGUCGUUACACUUGAAGAAGGUAAGGAGUCAGGUAUGAAUUUCCAGUUUGAUUGCGUUAAAUCAUUUGCUGAAAAAAACACUUUUAGAGAUUUUAGCACUAAGUAUGGACUUGACUCUGAGAUAGUAGCUUCUCUGUGUGAAUAUUUUGCUGCUCAUGUUGAUCUUCCCAAAGAAAAGUGGUUUAAGUAUCAUCCUCCUGUAGAAGUCAACAUAGUUAAACCNNNNNNNNNNNNNNNNNNNNNNNNNNNNNNNNNNNNNNNNNNNNNNNNNNNNNNNNNNNNNNNNNNNNNNNNNNNNNNNNNNNNNNNNNNNNNNNNNNNNACACCCAUAUUUAGGAUAAGGGUGGAUAUAUCACAGUGUCAUGGGGUAGCUCUACUGCUCACAUAAAUAUGUAGGCAUGUCACAUCGGAGUGAUGUGACACAGCUUAAGUACUACUACAUGCCAAGCGUCAAAGUGAGGCUUGACGAUUUAAUCAUGAUGUUGGAAGCGGUGAAAUAAUACAAUGACAGAAUCCAAGAUUGCAAAAAUGACUAGGACUCCUCUAGGCAUCGGACUCGCUAUCGUACUCUUCAUCCAUGAGGUCUCCUUCAUUCAUAUGUGGCCACAUCAACAAGCCAGUGAGUACUUGGAAAGUACUCGCAUGACAGUUUGCACAAAAGAUAAGAUGAAUGCAACAGUUUCAUAGGCAAGGUUAAUGAUCUCGAUGAGUUAUGGUAGAAAAUUUAACACAAGUUAUGUUAGAACAGAUAAGUCGGGAGGUAGCCUCUCAAAAUAUCCAAGAAAGUAAAAGGCACCGAUCGGGUGUCUGAAGCGCCGCCUCAAAAGGUUAACAAGUAAAAAUAGAAGGCCAGCGUCGGGCGUCUGAGCGACACCGCAUACAGGGCUUAAUAACAAAUUAACAAGCCAUAGUCGGGCGUCUAUGCGACACCACGGAAAGGGCAUAAUAAAGUAAAUGCUUGCCUCAGUCGGGCGUCUUAGCGACACCAUAGGAAGGGUAUAAAGGUAAAUGCUCGCCUGAGUCGGGCGUCUUAGCGACACCACUAAAAGGGCAUAAAAGUAAAUGAAUAUCCGGGUGGUACAACCAACAUUCAGGAUAUUCAAUACAACCAAGUCUCAUGAAGUUAGUUCCAACAUCACAGUCAUAUGUCAAUAAUAAGCACUUUCAUAAACAAAAACUUGUUCUCGAGAGACCGACACAAAGACCGACACUUGACCUGUCAACCAGUCAUCCUUGACCGUGGACACGACUACUCGAAUAGUUUUGGCUCUGUGGAGGGUGUACUAUUUACCCACAACCACCGGUUUCCUAUAGUCACUAGGACUAAUCUCGCGUAUGGUAUUUUAGAGGUAAACACUCAAAACCAGCACACACCCAUUUUUUACUCAACGAGGCCCGGAAUCACCCAGAUCACGCUUCCAGGGGAAAAACAAUAAGAUGGGGAGGCCAACAUACUCAAUUAGGAUGGGAUCAAAUUUCCAUCGCAUGCUACAAGGGGGUGCCCCCCUCUCGGUCCCAAACCAGAAAUACCCAUGCCCGUGACCGGAUGACUCGCAUAAUUCCAGGGCCAUGGAACCUUCAUCCUGGCCCCUCUACUUGGUGUGUACGUGAUAAUGGGUUUACGACCUAGUACACUGUAUUUCCUUCCGGAAAAACGUGUGGUAGCACGAAAACUAAGGUGAUGCACUGACAAGAAUUGAUCUAUGCCGACACCGGAGUUGUUAAAUUUAUCCAUAUGGUGUCAUGCAUCCGGCAUGAUCAGGCCACAAGCUAUCAUGUCCCACGUGACUAAGAUGCCCACGGCCUCUCAUUAUCACAUUGUUGGUCAUAUUUGUCAUGCAUGAAAUCAUGUCAUAUAACAUGCAAGUGUUCUUAUGCAGCAGUUUAUCAAACAAUCCUAUCAGCAAACAUCACAUCAAAUGAUUAAACAUGCUUGCUAGGGUCGACAAAGUCGGGGUCCAGCUCGGUGAAGUUGACUGCAGCGUCUCCUCCUUCGGCAUCUAUGUCACACACAUCACAUUCUACGUAAAUGCCAAAUGUCCAAAUAAUGCCCCAAAGUAUUUUUGAAUAAAUAUAAAAAAACUAGACUGCAAAAUAAUUUUUUUUGCAAAAAGAAUCAACUCAAAAGUCCUUGUGGUUUAAAAUUUACGAAGGAAUGAAGUUCAGGGGUCAAUCUAUAAUAAACAGAAAGUAAUCCAGGGGCUGACUGAAAAAGAAGAAAAUGCUUUGAUAAAAAUGUCCGUGCCAGGGGAGAAAGCGCACUCUCGCAAAAUACGCCUUACAAAAUAGUUCGUAAAUAGACAGAACCAUGACAGUGGGCCACCACUGUCAGGUUUGAAAAUACCUCGUCGGCGGCGCUCUGCUGCGAACGAGAGGGGGAAGAGGGGACAGAUGCACUCACUGCAUGAUUCCGCAAUUGUGGGAGGUGGAGGAAGUCGUCGACGAGCACCACAUCGAUGGUACUUCCAAUUCCGGCGGGCGACGCUUUUGUGUGAUGUUCGAUCUCGUCGGAGAAGCCUUCGAACGGCGAAUUCAUGUGCGGAUUAGAUGAUCGGAUGCUCAAGGAGUUCACUAGCUAAAUUUGGGCCGCGGGGACAUGCUCACCUGAGCGAAUUUAGCCAGAUCCCGAAGCUGAUCGGGGCGGCCGGAGGUGAGGAAGAUGACCCUCCCAAGGCCCUCUGAGUGGUUUUUUGUGAGGCUUUGGCGAGGUAGAGUGGAGGAGAUGGCUUCAGAAGGACUCGGUGCCUCUACUUAUAGGCGGACGAGAGGGGUGUCGUGAUGGGGUUGAUUCCGGUGUCGAUUAGGGCGAGCAAGUGGUUCUGCAGGUGAUUACGGAGGUUGGGCUAGCUACAUCGGUCUUUGGGGGUUUCAUUCACCACUAAUCCUGAGCAAUUAGGUGUUGAGGUCAUCGCUCGACGGAGUGGGACCUCAUGGGCGUGGUGGCUGCAGUGAGCGUGCUCUGCGCUGUCCAGGACGUAGUGAUGGUUCAAUAGCAUGCGAAGGGUGGGGGACGGACAUGCAGGGCUCUCUGGUCGUUUGGGCAGUGCCACACGACGUGAGGAGCUCUAACGGCCAACGCAGGCGUGGCUGGUGCUGCUGCCAGGACCGAUGAUGCACGGGCUAGCUCAUCACCGAUGACCACAACCGGCCAAGAGAUCGUGUGGCAUCGUGGAUAAGGAGGAGGCAUAGUGCACAAGCCGCCACAUCAGGCACUGGCGAGAUUGAUGUUGUCGUUCGUCCUCCACGGAGCAGUGCCCACCACCUCCUCGAUGAUGUGAGGAGCUGUAACGGCCAACGCAGGCGUCGCUGGUGCUGCUACCAGGACCGAUGAUGCACGGGCCAGCUCAUCCCCGAUGACCACAACCGGCCAAGAGAUCGUGCGGCGCCGUGGAUAAGGAGGAGGCAUAGUGCGCAAGCCGCCACAGUAGGCACUGGCGAGAUUGAUUUUGUCAUUCGUCCUCCAGGGAGCAGUGCCCACCACCUCCUCGACGAAAUGAUUUAGGCACGAGUAAAAAUUAGUUAGGAUUUUUUGGGGAGGUCUCUCUUCGACUCUAGAAGGUGUCUGCAAUUUUUCAGAAUUUUUGAAAAUGGUUGAGGUGGGGUUUUAACAAAAAUAGAAAAUCUGGUCUAAACUUUGGUCAAACAAAAUUUGAAAAUUUUAAGCUCGCAAUGAGAAGGUUUUUGCUGCAAUAGGUUGAGGGUACCUAGGGCUACAAUGGAUAGGAANNNNNNNNNNNNNNNNNNNNNNNNNNNNNNNNNNNNNNNNNNNNNNNNNNNNNNNNNNNNNNNNNNNNNNNNNNNNNNNNNNNNNNNNNNNNNNNNNNNNCAAGAACACAUGGCAUGAUAUGGAAUGCAUGCAUGCAAAGGAAGUGAAAUUAAUAAGGUGACAUCACAUGAAAUCAUACAUGCAUAUGACUCUCUCAUAUCAAUGACAAGGUGGUCCCACAUGGAAGGUUACAAAAAGGGAAGGCUUUACACUUGGGGCAUUACAAACUCUCCCACACUACAAAAAGAUCUCGCCCCGAGGUCUACGCCUGAAAGAACUCCGGAAAUUCAGAACGGAGGUGAUCCUCACGUUCCCAAGUAGCCUCUUUAUCGGAAUGGUGUGACCACUGCACUUUGAGAAAUUUGACGGUCUUGUUGCGGGUCUUGCGCUCAGUCGCCUCGAGAACCGCAACUGGAUGCUCACGAUAAGAAAGGUCAGGCUGAAGGUCGACGUCUUGAAGAUGAACAGUGCGCUCGGGGGCCUUGAAGCACCUUCGAAGCUGAGAAACAUGGAACACAUCAUGGACAUUUGCAAAGUUUGCCGGGAGCUCGAGCUGGUACGCAAGGUCUCCUCUCUUGCCAAUCACUCUGAACGGACCAACAAAACGAGGCGCAAGCUUGCCUUUGAUGCCAAAGCGUUGCAUACCCUUCAUAGGCGACACCUUGAGAUAGGCGAAGUCAUCAAGCUCAUAAGACAUGUCACGGUGCUUGCUAUCAUAAUAGCUCUUUUGACGGGACUGAGCUGCUGUGAGGUUGUCGCGAAUGACCCGACACAUCUCCUCAGCUUCUUCUAUCAAAUCAUUCCCAAGGAUCUGACGCUCGCCGGUCUCGGACCAGUUGAGCGGGGUACGACACUUCCUGCCAUAGAGAAUUUCAAACGGAGCCUUGCCAGAACUAGCUUGAUAACUGUUGUUAUACGAGAACUCCGCAAAAGGCAGACAAUCUUCCCACUUCAUGCCAAAAGAGAUAACACAUGCUCUCAGCAUAUCCUCAAGAACUUGAUUCACUCUCUCCACUUGACCACUAGUCUGAGGAUGGAACAUUGUGCUGAAGCGGAUCUUCGUGCCCAUAGCAGACUGAAAAGAUUCCCAUAACUUGGAAGUGAAGAUACUUCCGUGAUCCGAAGAGAUCAUCAUAGGCACAUCGUGCAAGGACACAAUCCUGGAGGUGUACAACUCUGCAAGCUGAGCUGCUGAAAUGGAUUCCUUGACUGGAAGAAAAUGAGCCACUUUACUCAACUUCUCGAUGACGACGAAGAUGGCAUCAUUACCCUUCUUGGACUUCGGAAAACCGGUGACGAAAUCCAUCUCAAUGUGAUCGAACUUCCACUCGGGAAUGGUUAAUGGAUGCAAAAGACCUGCUGGACGUUGAUGCUCUGCUUUCACCCUUCGACAUACAUCACAUUCAUUUACGAACUGAGCAAUCUCACGCUUCAUACGAGUCCACCAGAAGGUCUGCUUCAAGUCAUGGUACAUCUUGGAGCUUCCAGGAUGAAUAGAGAGCAGAGAGUUAUGAGCUUCAUCCAUGAUUACCUUCCUGAGAUCACCUUUCGGGACGACAAGGCGAUCCUCGAAGAACAAUGUGUCUCUGGCAUCAACAGUGAAGCACUUAAACUUGGGAAGACUCUUUCCCACGCCAAUCUUGACCUUCUUCACCAUAGUGUCAAGAAGUUGUGCUGCUCGGAACUGAUCGUCCAAGGUAGGAGAGAUCUGAAGGUUUGCAAGAAAUCCCUGCGAUACUAGCUGAAGGUUGAGCUUCCUGAAAGACUCACAAAGACCAAGCUGGAGAGGUUGCAGAAUCAGACUGUUGCAGUACACUUCCCUGCUCAAUGCAUCCGCCACGACAUUAGCUUUGCCUGGCGUGUACUCAACACUCGGAUUAAAAUCCUGGAGCAUUUCCACCCAACAUGUUUGCCAAAGAUUCAAGUUAGGCUGAGUGAAGAUGUACUUGAGACUCUUGUGAUCGGUGAAAACUUCAACCUUACGUUCCAACAAGAGGUGUCUCCAAGUCAUCAGAGCGUGUACCACAGCUGCUAGCUCAAGAUCACGCACAUGAUAGUUCUUCUCCGCUAGCUUCAACUACCUGGAGUUAUAAGCAACCACCUUCUUAUCUGGCAUCAGGACUGCACCAAGACCCUCGAGAGAAGCGUCACAGAAGACCUGGUAAGACUUGGAAUCAUCCAGAGGAACCAAGACUGGAGUGGAGGUAAGCUUCUCUUUGAGUGUGUCGAAGGCCAACUGACACUCUGGAGACCAGGCAUACUUAAAACCCUUCUGAAGAAGACUUGAGAGCGGCUUGGCGAUCUUGGAGAAGUUCUCAAUGAACCUUCUGCAAUAGCCAGCAAGCCCGAGAAAGCCUCGAAGCUGCUUCACAUUCUGCGGAGGCUCCCAUUCAACAAUGGCCUGAACCUUGGACGGAUCAACUUUAAUGCCCUCGGCAGAGAUAAUGUGCCCAAGAUAAACCACUUCUUUCAGCCAGAACUCACACUUGGAAAACUUGGCAUAUAGCUUGUACUCUCUCAGCUUAUCAAGCACCAAUCUGAGAUGUUCUUCAUGUUCUUCCUCAUUUUCAGAAAAGACCAGAAUGUCGUCGAGAUAGAGCAAGACAAAGUCAUUCUUGAACGGAGAAAAUGUGUAGUUCAUCAAUCGAAAGAAUGUCGGAGGAGCAUUAGCCAGACCAAAAGACAUGACCGUAUACUCAUAUGAGACAAAACUAGUCCCGAAGGCAGUCUUUGGAAUAUCUUCCUCGCGAAUGCGAAUUUGAUGAUAGCCCAUUCUGAGAUCAAGCUUGGAGAAGACCUUAGCACCUUUCAACUGUUCGAACAACUCAGUUAUGUUCGGAAGUGGAUAUUUGUUCCUGAUUGUCUUCUUGUUCAAUGGACGGUAAUCGACACACAGUCGGUCCAUGCCAUCCUUCUUCUUGACAAACAGAACACCACAGCCCCACGGAGACGAGCUCGGUCUGAUCAAACCCAAAUGUUCCUGCUCAUCGAGUUGCCUCUUAAGUUCCUUCAAUUCUUCUGGACCCAACUUGUACGGCCGUUUCCACACGGGCUCGGUUCCUGGCUCAAGCUCAAUCACAAAUUCAACUUCUCUAUGCGGAGGCAUGCCUGGCAGCUCUGCAGGAAACACAUCUUCAUAUUCGCAGACCACUAGGACUUGCGAAAUAGGAUUGAUCUCACCGUUUUCAUUCAAAGAGAACAGACGGAUUGUAUCAUCGCGCGUCGCGAAUAUAAUCACGUCCUCCGAAGAGUGGGUAAGCUUCACUUCUUUGGCUUCACAAUCAAUUGACGCCUUGUUCAUGGCCAGCCAGUCCAUACCAAGAAUCAAGUCGAUGUCGGAAUUGCCCAAGACAAUAGGAGAUGCCAGAAAAGCAUAAGCGCCCAUCUUGACAGAAACAUCACGCACCACUUUGUUGGCGCUCAUAAGAGUACCGGGUGACACCACACGCAAUGCCUUCUUCAAAUACUCAUAAUCAAAAUCAUGCUCGGCAAAGAACAUUCUAGACAUGAACGAAUGAGAAGCACCAGAAUCAAAUAACACUUUAGCAGGAAUACCAUUGACGAGAAAGUUACCCAUGAUCACAUCUGACGAGUUUUCUGCCUCAGCUGCAUUCACCAUGUUGACUCGAGCUGAUCUGGGGUUUAACUUGACAAAAACAUUGCUUGGAGGUUUGCCUGGAGGAGGAGGCGGCAGUCGGAGCUGAGAAGUACACUUGUUGGCAUAGUGACCCUUCUGCCCACACUUGUGACAAGUCACCUCUGCUGGUUGUCUAUACUGACACUGAGGAGGCCCUUGCUUCUGAUGCUGGAAUCUCUGCUGGAAGAUAGGGUUGGGUGGGUGGGAAGAACCACGACGACCAGAGUGCUUAAGCUGCUGCGAGUGCCGAGGAGGAGGAGGAGACACCCAAAACUUAUGUUGCUUCUAAACCACCUGAGUCGAGGAAGAGCUGGAAUCUCUGAAGCGCUUCUUAGAAUUCGAGCNNNNNNNNNNNNNNNNNNNNNNNNNNNNNNNNNNNNNNNNNNNNNNNNNNNNNNNNNNNNNNNNNNNNNNNNNNNNNNNNNNNNNNNNNNNNNNNNNNNNAAGUGGUAUUAUGAAUGGGAUACAUUCAGUAGGUGGAGGUGACUUCUCAACCACAGGUGUGGUAAAGCGGCCUUCCCCAAGCAGCAAACUAAGAGUGCAGUUUUCCAUAAGCCUAACUAGUGAAAAUAAAAACAAGAAACGAAAAGAAUUAAUUGCAAGAUCUUAAGAUAUACCUUCAAGCACUCACCUCCCCAGCAAUGGCGCCAGAAAUAGCUUGAUGUCUAUGCACGCUUCGAUUCUUGUAGACUAUGAUGGGCCUCCAAGCGCAGAGGUUUGUAGGACAGCAACAAUUUCCCUCAAGUGGAUGACCUAAGGUUUAUCGAACUCAGAGAAGUAGAGGUUGAAGAUGGUCUCUCUCAAGCAACCCUCCAAUUAAGAUACAAGAAGUCUCUUGUGUCCCCAACACACCUAAUACAAUUGUAAAUUGUAUAGGUGCACCAGUUCGGCGAAGAGAUGGUAAAAUAUGGGUGAUAGUUCGGGCAAAGCAAGGAUAAAUAUGCAAUACUACAAAAUGCACAAGAUGGGACCAUCACCCUCCCCUCCACCUACGGGACCUCCUACCCACACUCAUCGCUGGUGAUCUCCAUGGAAUCCCCUACUAGAUUACUUGGAUGGAUUCUCUCAUCACAUGGGAUUUCUCCUAUGGCCAGAAGGUGGCUGCACAGGUGCGUCGUCGUUUCAAAUCUCCAGUUCACUUUGAUGGAUCUCCGUGUUCUUCGGCUUUCUUCUUGGUGGCGGCAUUCAAAUUCGCCUCCUACCGUAUGGAUGUGGAUUCUGUUGCCAUGGACUUAUGCUCCUGUCUGGGUGGUAAUAUUAAGAAGUUGGACGUUCAAGUUUUGAGUGAUAAUAGAUUUAGAUUCUUAGUUGCAUCAAAUCGUGUGGGGCAUUUCAUUCACUCUCUAGAGGGUUUCUCGGCUCCAUAUUUCUGUUGCAAAUUCCAUUUGUUUCGAGGUACUCCAAUAUCCUACUCGGUAUUUGAUCGUGUUCUAGAUCCAGACUGGAAUUCUCCUCGAGGCAGAUCCCAUGCAAAGCAAAAGUACCUACGUAAUGUUCCAGCUUUCAUCUCUAAUGGCGUGCAUGGGCAUCAACGUCCUCCUGUGGCAGCUGGUUCAGCUUGUCAGGCCACAAGUGCUCUCGACUCGAUUAAUGGAGCCGCAAAAACAUGGCUAAAGUCUCUUAGUAAGGAAAAUUUUAAGGAGAUGGGAUCACAUAUAAACCAUUCUCCAUCAGCUUAUAUGGAUCCUUCUUUUACACCAACUUCCUCUUCAAUCUACAUUGAUUCACAGUUGGAUUCCUUGGCUCAGACACCAAGCUAUGUUGAUGAACCUUCUUCGGUUAAAAUUGGUGCUUUUGAACUUUUUCAAAUGAAAUAAUUCAAUGCGUUAGAUUCACCACCGUCAAUGAGGUUUUUCAAAGGAAGAGUUCGUCAACUCACGUCAUAUAUGCCGGGUAUCCAAUGGGAAGACAUACGUGAACUGGUUUCUGUGGGAUAUUCAAAAUCAGAUAUUAUUUCCAUCCUUCAUAAUUUCAAACUUGCAUGCACAUCGUGUUUUAGCAUGGGCACUACAAAAACUCUUGUAGCAAUGGGCCUAGAUGCUUUAUCUGCUUUGAGCUAGGUCAUGUCGCUGCUGGUUGUUCUAGCUACCGGUUUUCUAGUCAGAAAAGCAUAUCUUCAGGAAAAAACUGCGGUUUAAAUGAUAUCGGUUGCAACAACCUGAUCUCGGCUGCAAACUAUGACCUUCUCUGCCCUAGAUGCUUGCAAUUGGGCCACUCAUAUCAUAUUUGCAAAAAAACUCCAAGAUGCCAGUUCUGUUUCUCGUAUGGUCAUUCCGUUGUUGGUUGUUGGAGGGUGAGAUCCUCUGGGAAAGUUGUUUGGCAACAAAAAGAAAAUAUCUAUGAUAUUCCGCAACAGAACCUUCCUUGUGUUUCUUCCCCAUCAGUUGACCUCACCGUUGCUAGCUUGGAGACUACCCCGCCUCGAUCGCUGGUGAUGGCAAACUUCAUGUGUAAUCCGUUCGCUUUCCUCCUGUCGGGCUUCUCCAUCGAGCAAGGACUAGCUGAUCUCAAGGUCAGGGCAGAUACGGCUCUCAGCACUACACCGCCACUCUGCAACGACGACUUCGCGAUAGCUGAGUCCAAUAGACCGAUCCUAAUUCAUCUUCGACAGGUUGCCAGGCAAAAAGUUGCAAGACUCCUACACCAUGAUAGGUGUUUUGUUAGAGAUGUUCAAGAUACUGCCUUGGGGCUAGGUCUCUUCCGUUUCAGUAAUGUUUUAAUCAGAGAUGCGGUAGUUGGAGAAACAUAUUUGCUAGGGGAAGAAAGUGAAGUUACUUUCGUUAAAUAUGAUGAAGGUUUGAAUAUGCGUAUGCCAUCGCUUGGUUCUGAAUGCUGGAUUAUGUUGCUUGUUUUUCCCCAAGACUAUCAAACAAAUUUCUGGGUUGAAAAAGCUGUCUCCUAGUUUGGAAAGUUAAUACUCUAGUUUGCUCCUCGGGAAUCUGCCUCCCGUGUUCUUGUUAAAACUUGGGUCAUGAGCCCCUCCCUAGUUCCUUCUAGUUUGGUGAUGAGGCAAAUGGGUGGACAACGUUGGUCUUGGACUAUGCCGGAUUACAUAUUGCGCACUGCUGGAGGCAAUGCUCAUAAGCAUCAGGUUCCUCUGGCAGGAGAAGACCCACUUCCGGGGGAUGGCAAUCAACCUCAUCCACUUUAUGGUCCUCAUAUGACAGCUGAGCAGGCCUUCCAAGCACGUCUUCAGAUUUGGCUCCAACAGAAUGGUGUUUUUGGUCCUGCUAAUGGUGGAAAUCAAGAUGCCGAGGAACGAGUAACUCCAGAUCAGCAACAUGCUCCACUACUAUCCUUCCCUCCUGCAGGACACGUAAACUACCAUGCUAUCCUAAGGCAUCGGGGAGUCUCCUUCUCUGAUGGAAUUACACCCUCUAAUAAUAUCAUCGAUAGUCCACUGUCAGCUUGGAAUGAUAAUAUCAAUCAGGAAAGCUCAGACUCAUCAGAUGAUUCUGGUCAAAUAGUAUCACUCCCUACCUCGAUUUCCUUGUCUAUCACUUUGACUGGAUCAAUAGGAUCUCAUGUGGUUGCUGAAAUUUUUGUCGAUGAUGCUAGUGUGCCAGAUUUGUACCACCUUGCCCGCUCUGUUAUUAUGAACCUGCAGAUUCCAACUAUUCUUCGUGGCCCUUUUGGAAUUCAAAACCCUCCAAUGCCCCUACAUAUGAUUGUAUGGAACCCACAAUAUGAAGAAGAUGAUUAUCACUUGAGCCCAAUGGCUCCUGCUAGAAAAGUGGCCAGAAAGUUAUGGUUUGCGGACACCUCUUCUUCAUCGGAUCAGUUUGAGCUAGUUCCUUCGUCAGUAGUUAUCACAGAACUUCCAGAUGAUGACAAUGAUUCUCAAGCUACAGAUAACACUAAGGCCGCUGAGCUUACACCUUCUGCUAUGUUUGUGGAUUCUCAUGUCUCCCCAUCGCGCAAAAGAGGCAGAACGCCUAAGUCCAUCACUCCUCUCUGCACUACUGAAGUUCAUCGUAGUCCUCGUAGAAAUAAAUAUAUGGGGUUCAAAGUGGAUCUGCCGUAUGAUGCUCGUGGCCGUAAAUCACGGAUCAAACCAAGGAGUUCCAUGGUGACCUCUGAUCCAGCUCCAUCAACUAUCGAUCAAAAUGCUAGUUCAAGCUUUGCUCCACCGCCACCCCCUAUGAUCAUCAAACACAUUCCGCAAGUUGGCACUAAGCUCUGCGGCAUUCCUCCUAAGGAGCUUACUGAUGAAUGCCUGCUAGCCAAGGGGAAGGAUGACGACGAGUAGUAAGUUCAUGUCCAUCUCGUGGACACAAAUAAUUCUUAGUUCGACGCGAUAUAUUUUCUUUCUAUCAUUGGAAAAGUAUUGUUUUAUUCUGCUUCUGCGCCUAGACCUAUUAUCUUUCUUUUCAUAGCUUGAUGAACUCCCAACUUCGAUCAUGGAAUUUACUUUGUUGGAACAUCCGUGGUAUCAGCUCUGAUGAAAAGCAUGAUGCAUUACGCUCCACUAUCAAUAGUUCGGGCUGCUCAUUUAUAUGCAUACAAGAAACUAAGCGAGAGCACUUUGAUCAUUCAUAUAUUCGAAAAUUUUGCCCGCGUAGGUUUGAUAAGUUCCAUUUUGUCCCCUUGAUCGGUAGCUCAGGUGGUAUGAUUGUUAUUUGGAACAACACUGUUUUCUCCGCGACUAUGAUUGAACAUCAGCAAUGGGGUCAAAUCUUAAACUUUAAAUCCACGAUCACAUCUGAUGAUUGGACGGUUGUCAAUAUUUACGAGCUGUGUGCGGGGAAUGAAAGAGAGAAUUUUGUCAACUGGCUUUAUGAUCUUCAUAUUGGAGAUGAGGAGAAUUGGCUUCUAGUGGGGGACUUUAACUUCAUCCGAUCGCCUAAAACCCGUAAUCGCCCGGGAGGUAAUCCUAAUGACAUGAUCACUUUCAACGAUAUUAUUCGAGCACAGCUACUCGUGGAUUUACCAUUACAUGGUGCGCCUUUCACUUGGAGUAAUAUGCAAUCCAUUCCGCUGUUAGAAAAAAUCGACUGGUUCUUUACUUCCAAUCACUGGACAUCUAUAUAUCCUAAUACNNNNNNNNNNNNNNNNNNNNNNNNNNNNNNNNNNNNNNNNNNNNNNNNNNNNNNNNNNNNNNNNNNNNNNNNNNNNNNNNNNNNNNNNNNNNNNNNNNNNCCCCAUGACACUGUGAUAUAUCCACCCUUAUCCUAAAUAUGGGUGUGUUGUAAUGAACUUUUGAGCGGGCUUUGCUUUGCCUGGUUUAAUAUCAAGUACUACCGGUUUUCUAUAUCAAGUUGGUCUAUCAGUGUGAAUGAUUUUUCUACACUGAUGACAUUCAUGGCUGAUUUCCGAUAAUUAUUUUAUUUGGAAACCGGUCCUGACAACCUUGGUAUCAGAGCCAGGCUGCUGUAGGAAACCACUAGGUGCGAUCGCUAAUCGGAUUAACUAAUUUAGUUUAGUUUGAGUGUUCUACAUACUGUAGAGAUUUCUCUCUUAGUCAACAUAUGUUUAUGUUAUGACUAUCUGAAAAAAAUUCCUACUGUGUAGAUGGCUGGCAACGGUUGUCCGUUGCAGGUUUUCGCCAACGAGCGAGCGGGCUUUUCGCGACUCGUCUCCAUCAUUGUGAGUAUCGCAAUUGGACCAACAACUCACACCGAGUACACGUUCUAUCACCACAGGAUCAGUGACACUCUGACUAUGCAUCAGUUCUCGGUGCAGUUCGUUGGUGGGCACAUCGAGACCCACCGUCUUUGCUUCGUCGGGAGAGCCAUGCCUAUGGAAAUGCAGGCUAUGCAGAUGGCUUCCAGGGAGGCAAUUGCCCGUAUCCGGGACACCCUUCCAGUGAUGAAGACUCGUCCUUAUCACUACCUCCCGUGCCAUGCUCCGUACACUAGUCACUACGCUUUUGCCUUCCCUAGAGGAGAGGAUGACGAGUCCAUUGGAUGCUCGUGCAGUAUCUCAUGGCCCUGGAGUCAGCCUUCGAUAGCUUAGUGGAUGAUUUGGUGGCUGCUUGUAGGGAGGCUGCUCACGCACGCCCUCCUAAUAGGAAUGCGCUUCUCCGUCCCACACCACCCUGGUCAGGCCCUUCCUCCCCUGCUUCGUGCACACCGUCAGUCUAGCCAGUUAGCCGCCAACUGCCUUCGCUUGAGGAGUUCAAUCAAGUUAUUGCUCCUACCACUAUUAGAGCUUCUCCACCUGCUAGCCCCGUGCAUGCUUCGCCGCCUCGCGCCGUCCACCUAGAGCCUG
rnacentral:lncRNA from 1 species